rnacentral:rRNA from 1 species
UACGAAGGGGGCUAGCGUUGUUCGGAAUUACUGGGCGUAAAGGGCGCGUAGGCGGCGUGUCAAGUCAGGCGUGAAAGCCCCGGGCUCAACCUGGGAAUGGCGAUGGAGACUGCAAGGCUAGAAUCUGGCAGAGGGGGGUAGAAUUCCACGUGUAGCAGUGAAAUGCGUAGAGAUGUGGAGGAACACCGAUGGCGAAGGCAGCCCCCUGGGUCAAGAUUGACGCUCAUGCACGAAAGCGUGGGGAGCAAACAGG